rnacentral:rRNA from 1 species
UACGAAGGGAGCUAGCGUUGUUCGGAAUUACUGGGCGUAAAGAGUACGUAGGCUGUUUUUUAAGUUAGGCGUGAAAGCCCCGGGCUCAACCCGGGAAUUGCGCUUAAAACUGGAAAACUUGAGAUUGGGAGAGGAAAGUGGAAUAACUAGUGUAGAGGUGAAAUUCGUAGAUAUUAGUUAGAACACCAGUGGCGAAGGCGACUUUCUGGACCAAUACUGACGCUGAGGUACGAAAGCGUGGGGAGCAAACAGG